rnacentral:rRNA from 1 species
CCUACGGGGGGCAGCAGUGAGGAAUAUUGGUCAAUGGACGAGAGUCUGAACCAGCCAAGUAGCGUGAAGGAUGACUGCCCUAUGGGUUGUAAACUUCUUUUAUAAAGGAAUAAAACGAGGCACGUGUGCCUUUUUGCAUGUACUUUAUGAAUAAGGAUCGGCUAACUCCGUGCCAGCAGCCGCGGUAAUACGGUGGGUCCGAGCGUUAUCCGGAUUUAUUGGGUUGAAAGGGAGCGUAGGUGGGUUGUUAAGUCAGUUGUGAAAGUUUGGGGCACAACCGUAAAAUUGCAAUUGAUACUGGCAGGCUGGAGUCUCGUAGAGGGGGGGAAAAUUCCAGGUGUAGCGGUGAAAUGCGUAGA